GAUGAACGCUGGCGGCGUACCUAAUACAUGCAAGUCGAGCGAACGGACGAGAAGCUUGCUUCUCUGAUGUUAGCGGCGGACGGGUGAGUAACACGUGGAUAACCUACCUAUAAGACUGGGAUAACUUCGGGAAACCGGAGCUAAUACCGGAUAAUAUUUUGAACCGCAUGGUUCAAAAGUGAAAGACGGUCUUGCUGUCACUUAUAGAUGGAUCCGCGCUGCAUUAGCUAGUUGGUAAGGUAACGGCUUACCAAGGCAACGAUGCAUAGCCGACCUGAGAGGGUGAUCGGCCACACUGGAACUGAGACACGGCCCAGACUCCUACGGGAGGCAGCAGUAGGGAAUCUUCCGCAAUGGGCGAAAGCCUGACGGAGCAACGCCGCGUGAGUGAUGAAGGUCUUCGGAUCGUAAAACUCUGUUAUUAGGGAAGAACAUAUGUGUAAGUAACUGUGCACAUCUUGACGGUACCUAAUCAGAAAGCCACGGCUAACUACGUG
rnacentral:rRNA from 1 species